rnacentral:rRNA from 1 species
AUGGUAGCACACAAGUUUAUUGUUGAAAACAAAGAAAAGAUGCUCUUGUAUAAACUUAGAUUUAAUAAGAAACACAUUGAGAUUUUUAUUUUGCAUGCGCCUCUGUUGUUUGAUUUGCUUGCAGAAAAUCGUCUUGUCACGCCAGAAGCGGUGAACAACCAUCGAGCUCAAGCUUUUACUCCAGAACCUGAACCCGAGCCGGAACCUAAGCUGGACCCUUAUCAUGCAUCAUCUGUCCAGUGGGAUCCGGAGAUGACCAUCCAGUGGUAUCCUGAUUAUACCUCCCAUUACACCGGGGAGAGUAGCAGCGGUCCUUGGUAUUAG